rnacentral:rRNA from 1 species
AGAGUUUGAUCCUGGCUCAGGAUGAACGCUAGCGGCAGGCCUAAUACAUGCAAGUCGAGGGGUAACAUGGCAGCAAUGCUGAUGACGACCGGCGCACGGGUGCGUAACGCGUAUGCAACCUACCUUUUACUGGGGGAUAGCCCGGAGAAAUUCGGAUUAACACCGCAUAAUAUAUUGAAACGGCAUCGUUUUGAUAUUAAAUAUUUAUAGGUAAAAGAUGGGCAUGCGUCCAAUUAGCUAGUUGGUAGUGUAAUGGACUACCAAGGCGAUGAUUGGUAGGGGUUCUGAGAGGAAGGUCCCCCACACUGGUACUGAGAUACGGACCAGACUCCUACGGGAGGCAGCAGUAGGGAAUAUUGGGCAAUGGCCGAGAGGCUGACCCAGCCAUGCCGCGUGUAGGAUGAAGGCUUUCUGAGUUGUAAACUACUUUUGAUCGGGAACAAAAAGGCUAUGCGUAGCAAAUUGAGUGUACCGAUAGAAUAAGCACCGGCUAACUCCGUGCCAGCAGCCGCGGUAAUACGGAGGGUGCAAGCGUUGUCCGGAUUUAUUGGGUUUAAAGGGUGCGUAGGCGGCCCUGUAAGUCAGUGGUGAAAUGCGGCAGCUUAACUGUCGAACUGCCAUUGAUACUGCAGGGCUUGAGUACAGACGAGGUAGGCGGAAUUUAUGGUGUAGCGGUGAAAUGCAUAGAUACCAUAAAGAACACCUAUUGCGAAGGCAGCUUACUAGGCUGUAACUGACGCUGAGGCACGAAAGCGUGGGGAGCGAACAGGAUUAGAUACCCCCGUAGUCC